UCAUCAAGGUGAUGAAAUCAGAAAAUCUUAGGACACCUUCUGACACAGCAUUCAAAAUUCUGUGUACGAGAAAGAUUUCUAUUCUGAUUUAUGA